GUCUCUUCAAAGACAUUUGAUAAAAUUGGAACAAUACAGAGAAGAUUGGCAUGGCCCCUGCGCAAGGAUGACACGUACAGAUCGAAGAAUUGUUCCGAGUUUUG